rnacentral:lncRNA from 1 species
GAAAUUGGUAUGGAUACGAAGAAGAGAGAAAGAUGAAGAGUUUGCAAGUUCUGGCGUUGGAAUUAGUCACUGGACGGAGGAGAAAUCUCCGUCUGAAGGCUGGUUGUGGAGCUAAGGAGAAAUUUAAGAUUAUGCCAUUGAGCUUCCGUAGAUCAUAACUUCUUCAUCAUAACUCCGAUUUGAGCCUACUAUCUCGACGUGUUCUAC